rnacentral:rRNA from 1 species
UAGUUAUGUUCUUAAAACCUAAAGAAUUUGGCGGUGUUGUAGUCUAUUUAGAGGAAUUUGUCCCUUAAUCGAUAGUCCUCGUUCUAUCUUACUUUAUUUUGUAGUUCAGUAUGUAUAUCGCCGUUAUAGGUUUAUAUUAUUAGGUUUAAAUUUACUUAUUAUUUUAUUAGAUUUUAUUUCAGGUCAAGGUGCAGCUUAUAGUGGAGUGGAGAUGAAUUACAAUAUAUAUNUUUAUAUGCGGAUUUAUGGUUGAAAUAAUUAUAAUGAAGGGGGAUUUAAUUGUAAUUUAAUUAAUAGUGAUUUUUUGAUAUUANCUCUAAAAUAAGCACACAUCGCCCG